AUUUAUUUCAGGAAAAAAAAAAACCAUCACACAGUCUAUAAGCAGAAAAGAUGUGUGUGGUGUGCAGCAAAGAAAAUGCAGGAGGAAAGAACCAUUCCGCCUUGAUGCCGCAUGACUUGCUGCUUCACACCCUGGCUGGCAGGAGGCCCCCACCAUGGUGGACUGUACCCUCAAACUCACAGGUUUGGAAGGCGACCAGCUCGAUGGGAUCAGGACAUUCCAGGAGUCAGAUGAACCCAGAGCCCAGAGCUACUAUCUAAAUCUCAUACUGGAAUGAUGAACUAAAAAGCUUGUACCUAGA